GACGUAGGGCGCGAGCGUGUCCGGAUUUAUUGGGCGUAAAGAGCUCGUAGGCGGCUUGUCGCGUCGAAUGUGAAAACUCGGGGCUCAACCCCGCGCUUGCAUUCGAUACGGGCAGGCUCGAGUUCGGUAGGGGAGACUGGAAUUCCCGGUGUAGCGAUGAAAUGCGCAGAUAUCGGGAAGAACACCCGUGGCGAAGGCGGCUCUCUGGGACGGUACUGACGCUGAGACGCGAAAGCGUGGGGAGCGAACAGG
rnacentral:rRNA from 1 species